rnacentral:rRNA from 1 species
GUAGGUGGCAAGCGUUGUCCGGAAUUAUUGGGCGUAAAGCGCGCGCAGGCGGUUCUUUAAGUCUGGUGUGAAAGCCCACGGGCUCAACCGUGGAGGGUCAUUGGAAACUGGAGAACUUGAGUAUAGAAGAGGAAAGCGGAAUUCCACGUGUAGCGGUGAAAUGCGUAGAGAUGUGGAGGAACACCAGUAGCGAAGGCGGCUUUCUGGUCUGUAACUGACGCUGAGGCGCGAAAGCGUGGGGAGCAAACAGGAUUAGAUACCCUGGUAGUCCACGCCGUAAACGAUGAGUGCUAAGUGUUAGGGGGUUUCCGCCCCUUAGUGCUGCAGCUAACGCAUUAAGCACUCCGCCUGGGGAGUACGGCCGCAAAGGCUG